rnacentral:rRNA from 1 species
AGGAUAGGCGAAGCGUGCGAUUGGAUUGCACGUCUAAGCAGUAAGGCUGGGUAUUAGGCAAAUCCGGUACUCGUUAAGGCUGAGCUGUGAUGGGGAGAAGACAUUGUGUCUUCGAGUCGUUGAUUUCACACUGCCGAGAAAAGCCUCUAGAUAGAAAAUAGGUGCCCGUACCGCAAACCGACACAGGUAGUCAAGAUGAGAAUUCUAAGGUGAGCGAGCGAACUCUCGUUAAGGAACUCGGCAAAAUGACCCCGUAACUUCGGGAGAAGGGGUGCUCUUUAGGGUUAACGCCCAGAAGAGCCGCAGUGAAUAGGCCCAAGCGACUGUUUAUCAAAAACACAGGUCUCUGCUAAACCGUAAGGUGAUGUAUAGGGGCUGACGCCUGCCCGGUGCUGGAAGGUUAAGAGGAGUGGUUAGCUUCUGCGAAGCUACGAAUCGAAGCCCCAGUAAACGGCGGCCGUAACUAUAACGGUCCUAAGGUAGCGAAAUUCCUUGUCGGGUAAGUUCCGACCCGCACGAAAGGCGUAACGAUUUGGGCACUGUCUCAACGAGAGACUCGGUGAAAUCAUAGUACCUGUGAAGAUGCAGGUUACCCGCGACAGGACGGAAAGACCCCGUGGAGCUUUACUGUAGCCUGAUAUUGAAAUUCGGCACAGCUUGUACAGGAU